AUAUCAAUAAGCGGAGGAAAAGAAACCAACAGGGAUUGCCUUAGUAACGGCGAGUGAAGCGGCAAUAGCUCAAAUUUGAAAUCUGGCGUCUUCGGCGUCCGAGUUGUAAUUUGUAGAAGGUAUCUUUGGUGUUGGCCCUUGUCUAUGUUCCUUGGAACAGGACGUCACAGAGGGUGAGAAUCCCGUGCGAUGGGGUGUCCAAUGCUAUGUAAAGUUCCUUCGAAGAGUCGAGUUGUUUGGGAAUGCAGCUCUAAGUGGGUGGUAAAUUCCAUCUAAAGCUAAAUAUUGGCGAGAGACCGAUAGCGAACAAGUACCGUGAGG
rnacentral:rRNA from 1 species